UACGUAGGGGGCUAGCGUUGUCCGGAAUCAUUGGGCGUAAAGCGCGUGUAGGCGGCCUUGUAAGUCCGUUCUGAAAGUCCGAGGCUCAACCUCGGGAGGCGGAUGGAUACUGCAAGGCUCGAGUCCGGAAGAGGCGAGUGGAAUUCCCGGUGUAGAGGUGAAAUUCGUAGAUAUUGGGAAGAACACCGGUGGCGAAGGCGGCGACCUGGUCCGUGACUGACGCUGAGGCGCGAAAGCGUGGGGAGCAAACAGG
rnacentral:rRNA from 1 species